GCGGAUUUACCCAAGUGGUGAAGGGGCUCCCCUGCUAAGGGAGUAGGUCUCGAAAGGGGCGCGAGAGUUCAAAUCUCUCAAUCCGCGCCA
rnacentral:tRNA from 2 species